AUUGAACGCUGGCGGCAUGCCUAACACAUGCAAGUCGAGCGGAGCGGCGGACGGGUGCGUAUUGCCUAGGAAUCUGCCUGGUAGUGGGGGCUAACGUCCGGUAACGGGAGCUGAUACCGCAUACUCUCAGAUGAGCCUAGGUCGGAUUAGCUAGUUGGUGGGGUAAAGGCCUACCAAGGCGACGAUCCGUAACUGGUUUGAGAGGAUGAUCAGCCACACUGGAACUGAGACACGGUCCAGACUCCUACGGGAGGCAGCAGUGGGGAAUUUUGGACAAUGGGGGAAAGCCUGAGCCAGCCAUGCCGCGUGUGUGAAGAAGGUCUUCGGAUUGUAAAGUACUUUAAGCUGGGAGGCGGUACCAGCAGAAUAAGCACCGGCUAACUACGUGCCAGCAGCCGCGGUAAUAC
rnacentral:rRNA from 1 species